UACGGGGGGAGCAAGCGUUGUUCGGAUUUACUGGGCGUAAAGGGCGCGUAGGCGGUCAGCACAAGUCAGUUGUGAAAUCUCCGGGCUUAACCCGGAAAGGUCAGCCGAUACUGCGGGGCUAGAGUGCAGAAGGGGCAACUGGAAUUCUCGGUGUAGCGGUGAAAUGCGUAGAUAUCGAGAGGAACACCUGCGGCGAAGGCGGGUUGCUGGGCUGACACUGACGCUGAUGCGCGAAAGCUAGGGGAGCGAACGGG
rnacentral:rRNA from 1 species